rnacentral:rRNA from 1 species
GGAGUCUAGCAUGUGCGCGAGUCAUUGGGACGAGCGAAACCUAAAGGCGAAAUGAAAGUGAAGGCGCGCCUUGCGCGCGCCGAGGGAGGAUGGGCCGCGUUCGCCGCGGCCUCGCACUCCCGGGGCGUUUCGUUCUCAUAGCGAGAAGAGGCGCACCCAGAGCGUACACGCUGGGACCCGAAAGAUGGUGAACUAUGCCUGGUCAGGACGAAGUCAGGGGAAACCCUGAUGGAGGUCCGUAGCGAUUCUGACGUGCAAAUCGAUCGUCGGAACUGGGUAUAGGGGCGAAAGACUAAUCGAACCAUCUAGUAGCUGGUUCCCUCCGAAGUUUCCCUCAGGAUAGCUGGCGCUCGCUUUGCGAGUCUCAUCCGGUAAAGCGAAUGAUUAGAGGCAUUGGGGUCGAAACGGCCUCAACCUAUUCUCAAACUUUAAAUGGGUGAGAACUCCGGCUUGCUUAAACCGUGAAGCCGCGAGUUUUAAAUUUUAUUACAAGGAUCAGAGUGCCAAGUGGGCCACUUUUGGUAAGCAGAACUGGCGCUGUGGGAUGAACCAAACGCAGAGUUAAAGCGCCCAAAUCGACGCUUAUGGGAUACCAUGAAAGGCGUUGGUAACUUAAGACAGCAGGACGGUGGCCAUGGAA